rnacentral:lncRNA from 1 species
GAUGCCAUGGAUCUCAAUCUUGGAGAGGUGUCACAGAGCUGGGAGAAGAGACGGAUCUCAUUCAAUGGGGGAGAUGGAGACUGUGAGCAGUAAAAGGAGUAAAAGUGAAUUUAGGACUUACUUUUGUAAAUAACAUUAAAAUAAAAAAAAGUAAAAAGAUAUAAAGGUUAAAAAAGUGAAUGAAAAAGGAUAUUUUUGUAAUAAAAAAAAAGAACAAAAACUUGGGGAGGUGUGGGAAGAAAAUGGGGAGGUGGAGAGAGCAACCCCCUAAGUCCUCAGGCAAACCAUCAGAUUUGAGGACAAAUCCUUUCCAAGGAGGAGGGGAUGAUGACUUUGGCCCAAGCCCAAUUGUCUUAGUUUAACAUUUCUUUUACUUUUAAUUAGACAUGUGUAAAAUGUGUUAGGCAUGUGAGACUUCUAGUCCUAUAUAUAGUCAUGCAUACACUUCUUGUACAUUUUUGAGAUAUUGAAUUAAUUUUCUGUUGAGAAAACUCCAGAUUUAAUUCCUUGAAAGUCAAAACUGGAGAAUUCAAGGGAUUCCUCAACCACCUUUCAUUCACUUUUUCUCUCUCAUUUUCCAAAUCUGACUAUCACUUCUCCACCGUAACAUCAAUCCUCCAAUUCCUUCCAAAAGCGUCAGCCAUUUCUUCGCUGACACAUCACACCACUCAUCAGAAGCCACAAGCCUUCCACGCCACGUCUUCAAGUUCCUCUUGCACUUCAGACCACCAAUUCAUUUUCACAGUUCAUCACACGCCUAGGGUUUCUUCUCGAGAGCAUUCUCUCUCGAGCUCCUCGUAGCCAAUCUCUGAUCACCACGGUAAUUUCCAUUUUCUUUCUCAGAUCUUCAGCCUUUCACCAUUUCAUCUUGAGAUCUCACCCUCACCGGACCCUAUUUGAUAGAAUCCCUCUUGACACAGUCCUUUUUCAUGUAUUUUUACAUUUUAUAGUAUCUGUAAUGUAGCUUGCAAGGAGCAUGGGUCACUAUAAAUACCCAGUUCCUCACUUGUACUAUUGACUUUUGAGAUUAAUGAGAAUUGAGAUUUCUGAAAUAGAAACCGUUCUCUCUUGAAAGUCACUGAUGGGUGUCGCCGCCCAAUCAAAUUUGAUGUGUAUUUAAAGUGCAGUAUAGCUAGGGAAUGACCCCUAGGUCGUCUCCCAAAGACCAAUGUUGCGAUUCAGAAUCAAGUCAAACACACAGUGGGGGGUUGAAAGUUUUGCAUAUGAGAAUUACACUAAAGUAAAAUGCAUAGAAAUUAAACACAACUCAAAUAGGAUAGAAAGCAUUUAAAAAAAAAGUAAAAUGAAAUAAAAAUAAAAACUCAACCUACAAUUCAAAUUAAUUUAAAAUAAAAGAAAUUAAAAUAAAAAUUAAAGUUUAUCUAAAUCCUAAACUACUUUAAAAUAAAAGAAAAUAAAAAAAACAAAUUUAUCCAAAUACCAGGACGUGACAUAUGCCUUUAUCCAAAUUGAAAAGGAAUUGAAUGCAUAUUCCUUCAAUCAUCAAUGAGUGCUACGGCCUUCCUAAUUAAAUCACCACCGUGCUGCAACGCGUAACAGCAACAUGCUUUUUCCAGCUAAAUUGAAUCACCCUUUAUGCAAGCAAAAUUAAUGCUCCACUUUUCAAUUUCAAGGGAAUUCUGGUGCAGAUCCAGCAAAGUAAAUUGAUGUGACCACUUGAGACUUUUAGAAGCAGACAACAAUGUACCCAAACAUCAUCCAAUUAAUUCAUCUUUCCGACACAUCACCAAACAACUCAUGAGCCGUGCCCUUCCCAAGGUGAAUGCUGAAUCAACCCUUCCACUUAAGCAAAGAUUACCGUGUUCUCUCAUCAAAGAACGAGCCCACCCUUUACUAAUAAAAAAUCAAUAAGAGAACAAUGUUCCCCUCAUUCUAGCACUGCAAUUAAUGGAUAAGUUGGAAAGGAAAUAUGCGUGUUUCUUCAUCAUUAAACC